CAGAGCGCACUGCAGCGCUCCUUGGAGAGGCUGUGGGCUUUCGGCAUCGGCGCCGAGGCUGCCAGGGCAGCAGGUUUCCUACCUGGUGUCCAUUGCCGUUAAUUCAAGACGGCUGCCACCCAGGCACGUCUCUGGGUCCCGCCGCUCCCUCCACACUCUCGGCACGGCUAGCAGUAAGAAUUUUUGCCACGACACUCGCUUCAGCAAGAGAUCUGCUUUCUUAGAACCCUAGCUGUCUGACUUUGAGCCUGAGGAGGAGUGCACUUACCCCAUGUCUCUGCUCAAGUGCUGGGAUUACAGAUGAUGCUGUUAGAAAAUAUGCUGCUUGUGAUGAGAUACAUUGAGCCCUUUGAUCCAGUGAGGUUAUUAAAGAAUACAGUUUUGAAAUCAUGGUAAAAUCUGGGUUGCCUGGAGGCCAGAAUUUUGUCAUUGGUGAAGAUAAACUUUUAAGACCUGCUCCAUAGACUGUCCUGCUCAAAAUUCACCAGCACACCAGGAUAUCCGUUUCCAUGGACACCUUUGGGAGACAGUUGGAAAGCCUUGUUUCUGUGUGUAGCCUUGGCUGUCCUGGAACUCACUCUGUAGACCAAGCUGACCUCAAACUCACAGAGAUCCACCUGCUUCUGUCUCCUGAGUACUGGGAUUAAAGGUGUGUGCCAUUAUCACCCAGCAGGAUUUUUCCCUUUAUGAUGUGAAAAAUAACAUUCAAUGAUGUUAGCCAAGUGGAAUGGCUGUAAUCCCAGGCAGGUUGAGGUAGGAAGAUUGCCAUUUUGAGGCCAUCAUAGACUACAUAGCACGACCCUGAACAUAGCAAAACAAUCACAACAAAGAAACAUGACUAAUUUUUUUUUUUUUUUUUUUUUUUUUGGUUUUUCGAGACAGGGUUUCUCUGUGUAGCUUUGCGCCUUUCCUGGUACUCGCUUUGGAGACCAGGCUGGCCUCGAACUCACAGAGAUCCGCCUGCCUCUGCCUCCCGAGUGCUGGGAUUAAAGGCGUGUGCCACCACCGCCCGCCUCAUUGCUUCUUUUUUAAGAUUUAUUUAUUUAAUAUGUAUACAAUGUGCUGUCAGCAUGUAUGCCUGCAUGCCAGAAGAGAGAGAACGCCAGAUAUUGUUAUAGAUAGUUGUGAUCCACCAUGUGGUUCCUGGGAACUGAACUCAGGACCUCUAGAAGAACAGCCAGUGCUUUUAACCUCUGAGCCAUCUCUCCAGCCCCUGCCAUUGCUUCUUUACAAAAGGAUGGCUGAUCCAGCUGAGUGUGGGAAAAUCAUAGACAGUGACAGACAACCUUUUUGUUGCUCCUUUUUUGGAUAGAUUAUAAAUGUUUUUUUUUUUUUUUUAAUUAAUGGUUGCUGGGACUCAAACCCCCAGGAUCUUAGACAUACAAAACCAUUGCUCUACCACUGAACUGUAUCUCUGACUCUGAGGAAGAUAUCUUUGAAAAAAUGUUGUAAAGUUUGCCAGAUCCUAUGAGUGAAUGACCUCAAAAGAGAAGAGGAGGCGACGCCCAUCAGUGAUAAAGGGUACUUGCUUUUUACAGCUGAUCCUACAAGUUGAGAUCAGUUUGCUUCUGAAUUUCGUCCCAGGAAAAUGAAGAUCAAGAACGCACAUCGACACAGCAGGGGUGGAUCAGUGGGUAAGAUGCUUGUCAUCCACCGAAACUGACAACCUGAGUCCAGUCCCCUGAAACCUAUACAACUGAAGGAGAGAACCAAGGCCCUCAGCCCAUGACAAUCUUCAAUAAAGAAGAAACACAGUGAAGGACUAUGUUAGAGGCACUCUGAGAUGGCUCAAAAUCCGUCCAAUAUAGCUCAAAACCAGGAUAAUGGUUUUGGAUUCUGAGGAGUAAUGCGUCCGUGAAUAUCUCAGACGGAGACAUGGACAAAGGAACAGGUAUCUCACUCCAUUAGCCCAGGCUCACCUGCCCAGCAGUGGCACGACUAAUGGGCUCUGGCCCUGUGCAUCACUCGGCAAUCAAGAGAAUUCCCUCAGAUAUGGCCACAGGCCAGUCCAAUGGAGACAGUUGCUCAAUUAAGGUGCCAUCUUCCCAGGGGUUUCAGUUGCAAAUGGCUGCAGGAUCCAGAUGGGGUACAUGUGUGAGAUGGUUCCUGGUAUUCACUGUCUUCCUUUUCCUUGAAAAGCUGGUUUUUGUGUUUUCCCUUUGCCAUUCUUUAAUUUAUCGUGAAGAUUAAUGGAUGCCAAGAGACAAGUGAUUCUAAGAGGAUGGAGAGUGUUUGAAACCCUGACCAACCUAAAUGUGCAAAACACAUCUAAAGGGAAAGGCUAGACUAGUGCUUGGCUAGUGCUAAUGUCUGGUAAGGUCGAUCCAAGUUUGCCAGAAUAUCUGGCUCUACAAGGAAAUAUGAAUAGCUUGAAAGGAUUUUUGCUUCCAGUAUUUUCAGGACAACAGAGUUAUGUUUAUAGCUGCUUUAAUAAUCUCACAGCCUCCGCUUCUUUGUAAUUGUAUCAUUGUCAUGUUACUGUAUUCUUAUGUUAUGAAAUAAGGGGAUGUAGAACAAUUGCUGUCCAAUUCAGGUUGAAGGCUGGUAGGUUCCUUUGGGCAGAGGUCAGAACUACUGGACCACAGUUGUGAAUGUAUUUGAGUAAGUUAGAAUGAAAUAAUCUAGGAAAGAAAAGAUCAUUAUACGUACAUAAAAACAAGAAAACAGUAGCCUCCAUUGGGUUACUAAGAAUAAAUAUUAUUGUAAAUUUUUUUGUCCUAGCUAUAUGUUUGUGUAUCUUUCAUUUAGUGUAAUUGUUUUCCCUACUGUGGGUUAAUUUCCUUUACUAGAUACUCAAUGAAAUGCCAUGAACAAACUAUCAUUUCCUGUAGACACGUCUUCUUAGCAAUACAAUAUUGGUUUAAAGUCAAGUGACAUUUAAUGUUUACCAUACUGUAUGGUAAGCUGUUUUCCUUUUUCAUGUUACUUACCCAGCUAUUUAAGACUUUUAAUUUUUUUCUGCGGGGUAUGUGUGUGUGUGUGCGCGCGCGCGCACGCGUAUUUAUCUUUCCAUGUGUAUUGGUGUGUCUGUUGAUAUCAUUGUCUUCCUCAAAUACUCACCACCUUAUAAUUGAAGCAGAGUCUCCGUGAACCCAGAAGCCUCCAGUUUGGCUAGUCUAGGUAGACAGCUUGUUCUGGGCAAUCCCUGUUUCUACCUCACAAGCACUUGGGUCACAAGUGAGCUAUUAUGCCCACACUAUCCAACAUUCAGCUUGUGCUAGGGAUCCUAACCUGGGUUCUUCAAUUUUCACCGACUGUGCUGUGCCACUGAGCCCUCUCUUCAGCCCCAGGUUGUUACUGCUUUACUUUGUUCAUUAGACGGGAGGGAGGGGAGACAGGGAGGGGAGGAACGCGUACGAGGGAGAUGUUGAUUUGUUUUUUGUGUGCCCGUGUGGAGGGGCCAUAGCAGGCUCCUUGAGGUCAGAGGACAUCAUGCAGAGUCUGUUCUCGCCACCUUGUACAUAUUGGGGGUUGAGCUCAGGUUGUCAUGUGCUUUGGCAGGUCCCUUUACCUGCUGAGUCAUCUUCACUGCCCCCAUAGGUUUGGUUUUUUUGGUAGUUUUUUUUUUCCUUCCUGUGGUUCUAAGAUAAGAACCCAGGACCAUGUACCAAGUGUAAGCUAGGCAAACAUUCUAUUACUGACUUGGCUACAUGCAUCCAUGCCUACUGGGAAUUAAAAGUGCUAGGUACUUGGCGGUGGUGGCGCACGCCUUUAAUCCCAGCACUUGGGAGACAGAGGCAGGUGGAUCUUUGUGAGUUCGAGGCCAGCCUGGUCUACAGAGCAAGAUCCAGGAAAGGCACAAAGCCACACAAAGAAACUCUGUCUCGGGGGGAAAAAUGCUAGGUAAGUGCUUUGUGAGCCAUGGCCUUAAGCCCUCUUUUAAGUUCCCCAGGUUGGCCUUGGUCUUGAAGUGUUUCUGCCUCAGCCAUCUGAGUAGCAAGAAUUAUGGCCAUACGCAAUCAGCCCUCUCCAAAAUCCUCGUUAAUAAUUGUUGAGACAGGCCCUUUCUGUGUAGCUCGGGCUGGCCUAGAACACAAUCCUCCUGUCUCUUUUUGAAGGCUGGUGUGCCAAGGCUAACUCACAUAAGUCAUUUUAAGUAUAUGGUGUUUCUCAAGAAUUUAACUAGAAGUUCGUCAGCCCUCUCACAGAUAGUAAAGGAUAGGGAUCAUUGAGAACUCCAUUGAUAAUUUACCAUCACUGAAAAAGUUUUCUCAUUCAUAAGUCCACUGUAAGCAGCCAAUGCUGUGUUGCUCAAUGUUUCAGGUAGAUUUGUAAGUUGCCUUGGUAUUAAAGUCUUGUGAUAGUGCUCCUAAUCUGUUUCAGCUGCAUUUUGCUGAGCUUUCCACAUCACUUCCUGUCUAACUUUAUUUCAUUAUGUACCCAAGUCCUAAUUAAUAUUUGAGGUGAAGUCUGAUGGUAUAUUUCAAUUCUGUUUCUAGGGGCUGUGCCCCAUUGCAGGGUAUAUAUAUCUCUGGCUGCAUUCCUCUGAAUGUUAAUAGUUGACUCCACGAUGUGGCAGCUAAAAAUGUCCCUAUAUUUGGCAGGAGGGAGACUUAACCCUGCAGCCUGAGGAGGUCCCUUUCUACUUAGAGAAUGUUACGAAGGUAAACCUGGAUGCUUGAGUUUCAGGGUGAGCACAGUGAAGCAAAGUUAGCAAGCUUAUUAAGUAUUUAAGCUCAUGGGGUGGUGGGGGAAAAUACAGUACAUAAUCUCAAGGCCUCUUGAGAGUUGAGAUUAGAUAUAUUUACAAUGUCUACGUAUAUCUCCUGGGGCUUUUGAAACUACAUGUCACAAAGGAUUACAAUAAGAAUUAAAGAUUAAUCAAAGCUUAAACUUUCAAGUUUAAACGUUUAGUAAGAGUAUUUGAGCUGGUUUACUUAUUUCCAAUCUUCGAGAAUUUUCUUUUGUAAGUAAAAUUGUAAUGUGGCCUUAUGUGGUAAGGGAGUGUUGAUUCAUCCUUUGAGUUCCUGCUUAAGGUGAUGUCAUGGGGUAAUCAAUCUGGCUCUCAGGACAAAGACCUGAGACAGACUUUCAGGCACCAUUCAGGGGUCUGGCACAGGGCAUUAUAAAAGCUGACAAUGAAAUUCCUUAGUCUUAUCUUUGUGCUUUGAGUCUUAAAGAUAAGAUAGGUUAGGCAUCUCCAGAUUUUAAAUAGUCAUGGAUGAUUAACAUCAGCCAUCUAAUCAAAAGAGAAGAAAACAGAAACUAAAGGCAGAGAUUUCAAGGUUCUGUCCUUGUUUUAGUGACCUCUGGACCAAGGUGAGCACAAGAGCCAUUCCUUUUAGCAAAAUAAAUUCCAAGUCCUUGUUACCAAAAAGCAAUGCAUGGUAUUUCAUUACAUAGAGUCAAUAUAUUAAAAGAUAUUACAUGUAUUGGUUAACAUAUAGACGAGCAGGUACACACUCAAAUUUUUUUUAAAUAAAAGGCACAUGACCAUCUUUUCAGUUUGCCAAUUCUUUGUUUUUUUAAUGAUUUAUUUAGGUUUUUUUAAUUUGCGUUGGUGUUUUACCUGCUUGUAUGUCUAUGCGAUGAUGUCAGAUCUUGGAGUUAUAGACAGUUGUUUGCUGCCGUGUGGGUGCUGGGAGUUGAACCAGGAUCCUCUGCAAGAACACCUGGUACUCUUAACCACUGAUCAUUCUCUCCAACCCCCAGACGGCCAAUUCUGAGUCUCUGAGUUCAACUGUCUGUUGUAUCACAUUUGUUUAUUUAUUUACUUUGUAUAAUCUGUGGGUAAAGACAGUUUUGCCUUUUUAUUGCUUGAAAAAAGCCAAAAUAUUAUUUCAUAACACAUAGGAAUUAGAAAUUCACAUUUCAAUGCCUGUCAGUUAAAAUAAUAUUUUAUCAGAGCUUAGCCACUCAUACAUUGAAUAUACUGUGGUUGCUCUUAAGCUACUAUAUAGGAGAAUACGGAGUAACUGAGACCCCAGAGACCUGCAAAAGCCUCAAACAGUGCUCAUUGACUAAACUGCCAUGUGAUUCUGUAUUGUUUUUAGUAGCUUUAAAUGCCAGGGUUGAGACUUCGUUAUUGGCCAACAAAAUGGUCCUCAUUCUAUUACACUGAGAGCAAAGGAGACCACAUUUCUUUACUCCCAACUGUUCCCCGUAGGCUGCCAGGACCUAACCCUCUAAAUUCCAAAUUGCUUGCUGGAUUUAGAGAAAAGCCUCUAUGAAUUUUUGACUCUGGGUGGUUAUUGCCUCAGAAUUUUGGCUCUAUCUUAGGUUUUUCCACUCUGUCAAGUUUUUGUGCUAUACAGUCGGUUCCCCCCACUUUUUUUUCUUGUUUUGUUGUUGUUGUUUUUGUUUUGUUUUGUUUUGUUUUUAUAAGGAAUUUCUCUGUGUAACAGCUCUGGCUGUCCUGAAAGACCAGGGUAGCCUCAAACGCAGAGUCCAGUACUGUUUCUGGCCUCCCCAGUGCUGGUGCUAAAGACGUGCGCCUCCACCACCCAGUUAGGGCUUGAAUUCUUUUUUUUUUUUUUUUUUUAAGAUUCAUUUAUUUAUUUAUUAUGUAUACAGUGUUCUGUCUGCACAUAUCCCUGCAGGCCAGAAGAAGGUGCCAGAUCUCAUUACAGAUGGUUGUGAGCCACCAUGUGGUUGCUGGGAAUUGAACUCAGGACCUUUGGAAGAGCAAGCAGUGCUCUUAACCUCUGAGCCAUAUCUCCAGCCCCCAGGACUUGAAUUCUUAAAUGCUGGCAAUCCAAGCAUAGCACCACUGACCCCAGCAAUCGAGCCUGUUAACUCAGUCACUGUUGGAUUGUUGGCAGGGAAGGUCUUAGACGUGAGAUACUUCGACAAACGAAAAGAACAUAAAACUAAUACAAUCUUGGUUGACAGUUUAAGUAAUAUGAACAUAUGACCUGAGUUCUGUAUGGGAUUUCAUUGACCUAGGAUGAUUCCUCUGUCAUUAGAGUAAAUCUGUGCAUCCCAAGUAGUUCAGUUUGUUUGUUUGUUUGUCUAUUUAUUUAUUUAUUUUUGGUUUUUCGAGACAGGGUUUCUCUGUGUAGCUUUGUGCCUGUCCUGGACCUAGCUCUGUAGCCCAGGCUGGCCUCAAACUCAGAGAUCCGCCCGCCUCUGCCUCCCAAGUGCUGGGAUUAAAGGCGUGCGCCACCACCGCCUGGCUUCUCGUAGUUCAGUUUAAAGUAAUUUAUUUCUGCUUCAGUUCGUAUUUGUAUGUGUAUUUGCAUAUGUGUUGGAGUGAGCUUUCAUGUUUAUGCAGUCCUGAGGUUCAAAGUCUGCUGGGAUAGGGGUUUUUUAAUCUAGAUUUUACUGAUCCACCUUUGUUGGCCGAGCUAGCUAGCCCCAGGGAUCCUUUGUUUUCCACCUCACAGCCCGGAGUUCUUUCCUUGGUUUUUUCAUGCGCUCUGGGGAUCCAGAGGCAGAUCCUGAUUCGUGAAAGGUAGGACCAACUGAGCCAUCCCUCUCUGAAGGAUCUCAGGUUUGCAGUUCAAGAGGGACACAGACAAAUUGUCCUUUUAGGUAAGACAUUUGUUAAUGUUACAUACAAAAGGCAGCCAGGGCUCUAAGGAGAGUUUAUGCCCCAGCAAUAAACAACAUGGCCAGGCCUGUGAGGAGAGCUAAGGUUCUUGAGGCAGACAAGGGAUCUCUCCUUCAAGUUCCCAGGAAGACCUAUGUCAUGUAUUCUUGUCUAAGCAUUUGGGGAAGCGGAGAGGAGAAACAUCUUGAGUUAAAGAAUUCACAUUCUGGUGGCCCUGAUAUAUUAAAGUCUCGUAAUUUGAGCCUAGAAUCAAAAUUGGGAAGUGGAAAGGCAUUUUUUUUUAUAAGUGCGUACCUCCAUUCCCAUGGAAUCCCUAUACUUGGAGAGAAUGUUCUGGGUUACAGAUUCACGAACAGGCUGUGUAUAGGAUGCUUACCAUUUCAUACAGCAGCUGUAAGGGUACCGGGACAAAGAACCUAUUGCAGGGAGAUAUGACCUAACUGCUUAAAUCUGGCUGAUCCACAGUAGGUGCCCAGUAAAGUUGAAUUAAUGAGUCUCUUGCCGUGACUAUUAAUAUUAUAUGAAUCAUCUCUUAAAUAUAGUUUUUUAUGUUACAAGUGUAACAUGUUUACAUCAUUCAGUUGCGUUGGGAGGCAGAUGUCCAUGCAGGUCAGAAGAGGGUAUCGGUUCCCCUGAGACUAGAGGUAUAGAUGAUUGUGAGUCACUAUGUGGAUCCUGGGAAAUGAACCCAGAUCAUCUGGAAGAGUAGCCCGUGCUCUUAACUACUGAGCCAUUUCUCCAUCCCUUGAUAAUGUGUGUUUACUUUUAUUUGUUUUUGUGUUUUUGAAACAGAAUCUUGCUAUAGCCUGUGCUGACUUUCUACUCAGUAUGUAGCCCAGGUUGGCCUCAAUUUCACAGUGAUCUUCCUGCCUCUCAGCCUUCUUGAGUGAUGGGAUUACAUGUAGGUGCAUAUCAUGAUAGCCAGCUUUGGAAACAUUUUUAGGGUCCUAUUGUCAGGAAUAUUUACAAGCUUGUAACAAACACAUGCACUUCUGAGAUUAAAGUAGCAGAUCCAGAGAUGAGCUACAUAAGUUUGAGCUGCAUGAGAUCUUGUCUCAAUCAGUCCCUUCCCAAAAACCCACAAAACAAAACAAAACGUAAAAAGUUUAGCAUGUUCUUAUGUUUCGGUUUGAAUACAUACAAAUCUAUCAUUGGACAAACAUAAUCUUCUCAGUAUAAUUUGUAACUUAUAAAUCUUAAUAGUACCAAACAGAGUACCCUCCAGAGCAGACCUUAAAUCGCCUCAAAACGUUUAGCCUACCACACAUAAGAUUGUACCACUAUUAUAUCCGUGGUAAUUACCAUUUUGGUCAUUUUAGUUUAUAGAGGUCAUAACUGGGUUCAUAACUUUUCCCCGUAACAGCCUACAUAGCACCCACCAGUACUAUGAAAGUUAGGCAACAGGAAUGAAGCUUUUUGGUCAGUACAUUUUAUAAACAGUAUGUGUGGUGUCUUCAGCAAUAGGUAUACAGCAAUCCCACUCCCCAAGACACGGUUUCUCUGUGUAACAGCCCUAGUCCUGGAACUCACUUUGUUGAGAAGGUUGGCCUCGAACUGAGAGAUCUGCCUGCAUCUGCCUUCUCAUUGCUAGGAUUUAAGUAUGCACCACCAUUGUCCGACAGGUAUACAUUUUUUUAAACAGUAUUUUGAUAACAAUGGGUAACUUUUUGUGAUGGUAUAUGAGUAGCCUAGGGUCAAAGUAUGCUAUAAAUGCUCUCUUGCACUAUUUAACAUCCCUGGCCUUUAGAGAGUAAAUUCUAAUAUGUCUCUUUCUGAUGGGCAGUUGAUGUUACUCACGCUCAGAAGCAUUGCUCUCAAAUAUCCCAGAAACUUAGUCAUGCUAAGCUUGGAAAUAAUAGUGAGGUCCCUUGGGACUUUUCGGGAAUAUUAGUAAGUAGGGAAUGUCAAACUUUCUGGCUUGUCUAUAGUACUUGUCUAGUAAGAUCCCGAGUCUGACCACAGUACUGGUAGGAACUCUGGGAGGACUAAGUUUACUAGCUCUGCAAAGGGCUAAUGAGUGCUCCUAUCACUUUAGCAUGGUUCAAGGUGAACACGCCUUUCUGAGUGGAAGGUCCUUGACCAACUAUUUGACUCUGCCCAUCUGGAUUAGUUUGUAUGGGAGGGGAGAAUGGAAUGCCUGCACCUCGAGGUAAAUGCCAUUCUUUUGGCUGAGAGAUAAUAGCCUUCCUUUAAUACGCUUUUAAUGUCACUGUAAAAUUACUGCUAUUAUAUUUUAUUAGAAAGUCAUCAAACUAGUUAAGUGCAGAAUUCAGUCAAAGAGUACCUUCUGGUAACAGUAGAUGCCAUUUCUGAACCUUAGCCUAAUCUAAUAGAGAACUCCCUUUACUAGGAAGCCAAGCAUUUCUGGAGAACAGCAUGUUUACUUAAACAUUUUAAAAGUUAUGGUUUUUUUUUUGGUUUUUUUUUGUUUUUGUUUUUUUGCCUGAUCAUGUUACAGAGGUGUUAGAGGAUAAAUAGGUAGGUGUCUGUUCUUUCAACAUAUGGAUCGUGGGGAUCAAACUUGGCAGCACACAUAUUACCCACUGAACAGUCUUACCAGGCAAGUUUACUUACUUAAAAAUAUGAUCCCCCUACUUACGAGUUCAGCAUCUCUGCCCAGCUAGUGUUGCAGCUGUCAGGAGCAAGAAAAACUGGCCUCUUGGUUUUUGGCUAGAUCACCGCCCAGCUUUUUCUUUUUCAGGUUUGCCUUUUGAUCCAUUAUAAAACUACCAAGACAAAGAUUCUUUAUAGCAAGUGCCAUCAAUCAAGCCCUACAUGGUUUUUCUAGGUCCAGUCCCCCUAGAUCUUCAACUUCCUUUUAACAUUUUAGCUUUUCUCUACAUAACAUUCUUUUUCUCUUUCUCUAUGGCAGUCAUUCUCAAUGUGUGGGUCAAGAACCCUCCUUUAUGGGUCGCCUAAGACCAUCAGAAAACAGAUAUUUACAUUAUGAUUCAUUACAGUAGCAAACUUAGAGUUUUGAAGUAGUAAUGAAAGUUAUUUUAAGGUUGGGUGUCACCACAACAUGAGAAUUGUAUUAAAGAAUUGCAGUCCUAAAAGUCACUACGAUUUACCCUGCCCCCUGAGCCAUUCCACAUAUGAGGCUUGUUGCAUGGUUACUCAGCCAUUUGACCUUUAAUGUACUCUGGAAGCAAAACUUGGGCACAAUCUGGGAGCUUUCUUUACUUAAAAGAUACAAAGUGGUCCCCCAAAUGACGGCUUGGUGUUAGACUUACUUACCCUCAGGGCAGCCUGUUGUGUCUUAGGAAGCCACAUCUUUUUGGCCAUUGCUGACCUCCACAGUCUUAACACAAGGGUAAGUGGUUUGAGAAAAGGGACACAGAUCCUUAUAUAGAGUGUCUGCUCAAUACAGAGUUCUCAGAGUAGGACCCAUUGAUUUUUAGGUAUGAGCAUAUCUUAACUAUGGUUGCCAUAAUCGGGCUCCUUUCUAUCUGUGAGCUGACUCAAAACUAAAGCAAGCAGUAUUAGUACUAGCUUGAUUAAUAGCUUGGCUUCUCAUCUAUUGCAGAGCAAAAUGGAAAUUCUAGGAGAGGAAUAGUAAACUAGUAUUCAGGAAUUCUGUUCCGAAGUUGAUGGGUACAAGAGAUAGGUAGUUGUCGGGUCCUUGACGGUUUGGGAUAAGAGGUUAAGAACAUCAAUUUGAUAUAUUUUUCAAAGAAGAAAAAGGCUGCAUAGUACUUCAAAGAGCUAACAAUCUAAGAAGAGUGUACCCUCAGCAACUACUAGUACCAGUCCUUAUCUAGCUUACUGACUGACCUUUCGAGUGUUGAGUGUGUAGUUAGCCAUCACUUAUGGCGUAGCAAGUUGACUUUAAAGACUAGUUUUCUCUUCACAAUUAAGAAUAUUCUUUUAAGAAGUUAACUAACACCUUAUUUGUUCCUCAGGGAUAAAAUUCUAAGUUAACCAUUAGUCAUUUAUGUGUGCUGGUGAAAUUUCAAGUUUCUCUUGUUCAGAAACUAGAGAAGGUCUUUUUCACAUGACUGUAGUUUUCACUCGUCUCUGCGACGUAAGCACGGGGAGUUGUUUAUACAAGUGCUAUUAUCUGUGUUUUCCUUGGAGACUUGCUGUACCCUGCCUUUUAAAUUAGAGGAGUAGUAUAUAUUCUGAAGGACACGGUUUGUGCUUGCACUUGAAAUUAGGUGGACUAAGAAAACCAAUAACGUUAGGUGUAGACAAGAUAAUAUGAUAAUUCGAUGGUUUUAUUUUCACAACGGAGCUUGUGGGCAUUAACAUUAUUUAUGAAAGAUUUGUUUUUUGUUUGUUUUUUCUAGACAGGGUUUCUCUGUGUAGCUUUGCUCAUUUCCUGGAACUCACUCAGUAGCGCAGGCUUGCCUCAAACUCCGACAUCCUCCUGGCUCUGCCUCCCGAGUGCUGGGAUUAAAGGCGUGAGCCACCACCACCCUGCAAGAUUUGUAAUGAAGAAACUAAAGAAUACUCUUGUCAUCAGGAGGAGGAAUGAGCCUGAAUGUAGUAGUGUCCUUUACUUUCCUAAUCCAUGUUAGAAAAGUUCGUGAUAACACCAAGGAAGGUAAAUUUUUUGUCACUGUCAUGUAGAAUGGCUAAAAUGAAUUGUAUUCCUCACACAAUAUUCAGUUAUGACCUUGGAGAUGAGGUGCUUAGUGGUGCCUAUUUUUUUAUGACCCUGAAUGUAUCCAUUGUACUUACUCACAUCCCAGUAUCAUCACAUUAAAAGGCAUACAGGAAAAGAAUGAUAUGUUGUACUUUAAUCUUGAGAAGUAGCAAUGUUAUAAUAGAAGAUUAUUCCACGUUGUCCAUUCCUCUACAUGCACUCACACGUUACAUACUCAAGAUUAAAUAAUAAUAAUUUUUAAAAUAUAGCAUGAUUUGGCAUAAUGAUAAAUUCAUGUUACCUCUGCUUUCAAGUACUUGAGGCAGGUGAAUUGCCCCCUUCUUGAUUUUUAAAUUCAGAUUCCAGCACCUAGGGGACCUAAAAAAGUGCUAGGUUAUGGAAGGGCCAGGUAUACAAGAGGACACCAAGAACUACUGAUAACUAAGGAGUUUAUUAGAUGCGUUAUUAAUGCCAUGGAAAUAGAGACAAUGAAGCGAUACAUGUUGACCUGCUUCCCACAGCAUACUGAGAAGCAUUUAGUUCCCAACAAGAAGAGAAUCAGGGGUCAGAGGGCAUAGCAAGGGGUUUUUUAUUUGUUUUUGAGGAUGAUGGUAGCACAAAUCUGUAGUUGGGUUUUCUGACUCCCAUUCAACAGCUCAGAAAGGGGAUUUGGGAACAGGAUGUGGCACUGGAUAUCUUGCUACUAGCAAAUUAGCUACCUUAGGGCUAACAGAAUAUGUCCCAGUAGGGUGCCUGUCCGUAUCUAUUAGAGAAGGCUUGAACGGAGUGGAGAAUGCUUUAUGGCAGGUUCAAGAGAAUAAUUACCUUUUCCCCUGUAUUGUAGAGUGUGGGUAGUAUUUCUGUAUUUGUUUCUCUACUUGUCUGCCUUAGUAAUGUUGAAAUGCCCCAUGUGAGACAUAAAGACUAUUUUUUCAUUGGAAAGUAAGGGUGUGUUUCCUUCAUUUCUUGUUUACCUUGAGCUAAAUCUCACAAUUUAGAAGGAUAGUUUGUGUUGUACUCUCUUCUCGGUCUCUCACAUAGAUCCUACCCUGAAGGUGUUUUCCAGUGGAGUGCCUGCAAUUGCACCCAUUAAGCAAUCAGAUUUGGCCAGUCACAUAUGGAAUUUGACUAAGGUCACGUAAACAAAAGUGGAUCAUUUUAUCACAAAUGCAAAGCAGUCCUUAAAGUUUUGGGAUUCCUAGCAGCCACUGCCUAUCUCCUAAGUAUGUGUUAUCUAGGAAACUUAAGAUACAAUUCUGCCUGGUAUGCAGUAUCCCUACCCUUUGGGAAACAUCAGUUUACCCAGUGGUCAAAUGAUAAAACUCAAGGCCAUUGUAUCAUUUGCAAAUGAUCAAGUAUGCAUUAGUAAUAGCACUAAAGUCCUUUACCGUAAUCAACUAGGAAUUUUCUGCUGUGGUUUCAACAUUAUGCUGAUAAACUGGGUUAUAUUUUGCCCAUUAAUUUAUUGUUUAAGGUGGUCUGAGGAUAUAAUGACUCAUAGUAUUAGUAGUUUCUCAUUAAUGGUAUUAGGGUAAUUUGACUGCUUUAAGGGGUACGAAUACCAAAACUUCUGUUCAAGAAUUCUAGUAAGAAUUAAGUUUAUGUGAAGCAUAAAAGUUGAGAUUUUGACAAGCUUCAUAGCUACAGCAGGCUUUAUUUAAUGCCAGAGACAUGGUAUCUGGAUUUCUGACAACUCCGUGAUCAGCCACUCAGUGACCAAAGUUCAAGAGAAUGCUGAUUAUGUGCUUUAAAGUGAUUUUGAUUAUUUGUUUUUGUUUUUCGAGACAGGGUUUCUCUGUGUAACCCUGGCUGUCCUAAAAGUCACUCUGUAGACCAGGCUGACCUCGAACUCCGAUAGAUCCCUCUGCUCUGCCUCCCAAGUGCUGGAAUCAAAGGUGUGCGCCAACACAAUCUGACUUUAAGCUGGUUUUGGUUGUUUUGUUUCCAACUAAGUACAGUGAAGGGGGACAGGGUCUUUUGUUACGUACAGAAAGGGUUUUCGUUAGUCAAGUCAUUUUUGACAAUGCAGGGUUUGUUGUCUCAUUUUGUAACCACCAGAUGUCUGGGGUAAGGGAAACCCCCAAAUAUCUGGCUUAGUAGAACUUUGAGUUUAGUUUUAGGGCCUUGGCUUUGUGUGUAAGUGGGUGUUUUAUCCCAUAUCUUUAUAUACUAAGGAAAUGGAGUAUCACUGCUGGUGAGCGCAGCCUCUUACCACGUUUUUUGGGCUCUAGAGUGAUGAAGACCUAGCCUCCUCACAAGCAUGCAUGAGCACAUGUACCUGUGCACACACAUGCAUACACCCCAUACACCCAAAAGAACAUUUUGUUUGUCAUUUCUGUGUAUUCAUAAAGGUAGUAUUGUAAGAUUUUCUAAGUUUCCACUUUCUAAUGUAUUACUGAACAGUAUAUUGUCUGCUUAGGCAGCAAGCUAUGUAUAUUAACCAGUGUUAACAUACUACUAAGUUUUUUUCAUUUGUUUGUAAGACCUUUGAUCAAAAAGAGGCCUAUUUUUCCUCUGGAGAAACAUGUGGUGUCUCCAGUUUUCUUUUUAGUGGGUUUACUGAGUGAGACAUAGAGAAAAAAACAUACCGCCAAGUUUGCUACUCAAAAAUAUCCAACAGAAGCUGGCCUGUGGUGGUGCACACCUUUAAUCCAGCACUUAGGAGGUCAAGGCAGGCAUAUCUCAAGAGUUGAAGUUCUGCCUGAUCUACAGAGGGAGUUCCAGGACAGCCUAUCUCGAAAACACCAAAAACAAGCAAGGAAACAAAUUUCAAUAGAAGCCUCUAAAGCAGCCAGCUGGAGUUCCCAAUUGAGAGAAUGCUGGGCAGAGCAAUGAAUCCUCUUAUGUGAGUGUUUCAAGUAAAAGAACAAACACUGAUAUUAUAGCUAAGAUAAAACAUUAUCAAAUGUGGAACACAGGAGAAGCUUGAAAAUCACAUCAGUUGUUCCCAGUGGUUUCUUUCCAUGAUUAACCUCUUUCCACUGUUGACCCCGCUACGGGAUAAGCCGUCCUAGAUGUUUUGCGGGCACGAUGACUUCAAUUAAUUAUGAAAGCUAGGCCUUAGCUGAGGCUUUAUUCCAACUAGUUCUCAUAACUUGAAUUAACCUGUCUCUAUUAAUCUACAUUCUGCCAUGGGCUCAGUUCCUCUGUCUUCAGAGUAUCGCUGGAGUCUCUGUAGUGCCUAUCCUGCUUCCUCUGAGUCUGACUGGUGACCCACCUUUCUUCAAAUCUUUAUUAAACCAGUCAGAAGGCGCCUUGGCAAAGUCAAAGUGUAAACAAGUAUUCCACAACAGAACACUUGGAAACAAACAUGCUUGUUUGUGAAGCGUGGGGGAAGGGGAAUCAUAACCUCUCUUCCCUUACUUAGCCUUUCUGAUCUCAAACAACACUUGGCAAUUUACCAGUGUAAUAUCCACAACACCCGAGCUCACGCUGAACUUAGAUUCUCCAAUUCCAGCUUCACCAGUGCUGGGAAUAAAAGCAAGUGCCAUCAUAGGGACGGGUUUUUGAGUGUUGUGGUGACUGGCGUUUGCAAUACUUUUCCUUCUAUUACUCCUGUAUUAGAGUGUUUAGUUGCUUAAUUGGAAGACUUAAACAUCCUGAUAGAAAUAAAUGCUUUCAAAUUUUUCUUUAUUUUGAGCCAUGCGCAUUAUAUAUAUAUAUGUGUGUGUGUGUGUGUGUGUAUGUAUGCGUUUGUGCGUAUGUGUGAAUGACAUUUAUUUUUUUUUUAAUUUUAUUUUAUUUUACCGGUAUGUUUAUAGAGCACUUUGAUACUGUCACAAGUCUUUUACAGCACUUCCUAUUUUUUGGCCUUGAACUCCCAGGGAUCCACCUGACUCUACCUCCCAAGUGCUAGAUUUAAGGGAGUAUGUUAACACCACCCUGUCUGGCAUAUACCAUUUUUCCCAAGCCUUAUUCUCUUUAUUCAAUAUUUGUUGUGCUGAUUAAUACGUAUCAACUUAGUCUCCCCCAGUCUUCACUCUCCUUGUUUGGUAAAUAGCUAUCGUGAGUAAAAUGCUGUUUCUCAUAGUAAUGUUUUGGCUCCCCCACCCUUUUUUCUGAUUGUUCUAGUAUUACAAUUAAUCUUUUACCUUGAAAUAAUUGUUUUCAAUUUAGUAGUAAAGUUCACUGUGUCUCCAUUUCCUUUCCAACUUUUGUACUAUAUAAAUUAAAUCUGUAUAUGCGAGGCACAUUAACAUGGCUUUCUCGUGAUUCCAUUAACUAGUUAUAGUUCAACUUGACGAUGAGAAUGAUGUUUUCAGCUUUACUGGUGCAUUGGAAUUUCUGCCUCCUGUCCUGGAGGGCUUUCUUUCGUCCUUUUGAGAUGAUGUGCUGCUAUUGAAUUCCUCUUCCUUUUGUUUACCUAUGAAGGAAUGCUGCAGGUUCUCAUUUUUCAUGAAGGUCGAUUAUCCUGGGUAAUUUACAUAUUUGUCAUACUUGGUUCGUGUAGAUUUUUUUUAAAAUCAAACUGAGUGUUUGACCAUUAUCCACAUUUUUUAUUUCUCAUUUGCACUCUCGUUUGUGACUUUCAUUAAAUCUGCUGCUGACUUACUGUGGUUCUUCUAAGAUACCUCAUGGUUGUGUGCAAUACUUAACUCUUGUCAGUAGUAUUGUUUACUCUUUAUGUUUGAUUUAAACUUGGUAUUUCCCUUUCAACAACAAUUUGUGGUAAUGUUGAAGCUUCCCCACUUUAGCUUCUUUGAGCCAUGAAUACAUUAUAUGAUGCAGUCCUUUUCUAUAUCUAGAGUGUCUUGUUUUCAUUGCUCAGGUUUGAGGCCAGGACCUUGCAUAUGCUAGGCACAUAUUGGACUUGCACACCCCUAAUAGUGAAAAUCAACUUGACUCUUUAACUUCUUUGAAGGGCUCAUUAGAAGAAUUUGGUGAAAUUGGAAGGCUAGAGUCUACUAGUGUACCUAGUUUAUAGGUUGAAAUCAAGCUCAGAAACUUGUGUAUCGGGAAUAUUAUCUUUUUGGAGGCUGUUGCUGGGUCUUAGUGACAGAGGACUUCCCUAGCAUGCGUGUUGCCCAGGACAUAGCAUUGAAAAAAAUUGGGGGAGAUUAUUCAAUUCAACCUACAUAUAGUAUUUGGAGACGCUUUCUAUGAAAAUAACAAUCAAAUUUUCUAUACAUACUUGAUUGGUGUUAUGGGAGAAUCUCAUGUGAGAUACUUUCCCUUUAUAUACUAUAAAUUUGAUUGAUACUAUCUCACUAUAUUAGGUAAAAUAUCAUUUUUGCAGACAUUAAUUGACGGUUCUGACAGUUAAAAAGAAGAUUUAAUGUUGUAAGUAACAGAUUGUGGAGGAAAUUUGCAUUCUGACAUCCUUAUUGGCCUUGGAUUCAUGUAGGGUAUUUUCUGCUCCUGAACUAAAGGUUGAUUGACAAGAGGGCUACCAGAAAAUGGGUUACAUUGAAAGUUUUCAUUUCUUUCAGUGUGGAUGAGAAUUAGGCUUCAGACAUUAUCUAGAAGUACGGAAGCUACUGUUAAGUGCAGAGAAAUGACUAUUAGAUUUAUGAAAAUUUGUCAAUUUCAAACUUUAAGGAUAGAAAGGCUUCAAUUUCAAGUAAGUUGUGAGACUGUAAACUGAACCCCCAACCCAAGUUCAUUAAGUAAGAACAUUGAGAACAAACUUUUUUUUUUCAUUUACAAGUAACUUCAUUUGGUGGGGAGGUGCUUUUUAAGAGUCUCUCUCCUUCCCUCUCUCUGCCUCUGUCUUUCUCCUCCCUCCUCCCAACCCCCCUCUCUCAGACUUCUUUGUAAUGUUGAGCUCAGUAUGUUUCCCUACAGUUCAACUCAUUUAUUAGUAGUUUUUUGGACCCCCAUUCAACAAUCCUGCUUUCGUUGUCCUUUGAACAGCCAGGAUACUGAAUUUAGUCACAGUUCCUGCCCUAUGUGAGUUAUCAAUCUAGUGAGAGAGAUCAGCGUGGACAUAGAAUUCGAGCAAUUUGAUAUAUAUACUCUUUAGGGAAAAGACGUACAAAGUGCCCUGUGGUUCAGAGGAAAAUCAUUCUACUAAGCCUAAAGAUGCCAGAGGUCCAGGUAACCGAUGUCUUAAAGGUUGACUACUUAGUCACUGAGAGGUUUGGGAUAGGAUAUCUAGAGGGACCCUGAGAUGGAUCUUAACAGAGAGGACGUUUGGUGAAAAGCAUGAACAUGGACUCGUGAAUUGGAAAAUAAUUCAUGACAUUGGGCUAUAAAUGUUGCUAAGCUCAGGGCCUUGGCUUGGAUUUGUAUUAUGAGAAUUUCCAGACAGGGAGGCUUCUGAGGAUUCUAGUGGUAGUGCCGAACAAUUAAAGGCAACAGUUCUUGUAGUGUAUGUAAAAGGGUUAGCUAGAGGCAACUUACUGGAUAACUAGAGAAGACAAGCAAGAAAAAUAAACCAAAACUUCAUGAUUGUGAAGAAUGUGCACCCCUAGUCUUAUCACUUUUCUCUCUCUCUUGUUCCAUCGAUGGAUGUUUAGUUUACUUUUCAUAGAAUACAUUAAAUUAUUGGAAACAGCCAUACAGCAAGUAAGUGCUGAUUCUCAGUGCGACACUGAAAUAACAGCAGGGCUGUUAGCAUUCUCAUCCCAUCUACUCUACUUUCACUGGCAGUUUCUCCACAUUUUUUUUGUUGUUUUUUUUUUUUUUGGUUUUUCGAGACAGGGUUUCUCUGUGUAGCUUUGCGCCUUUCCUGGAACUCACUUGGUAGCCCAGGCUGGCCUCGAACUCACAGAGAUCCGCCUGGCUCUGCCUCCCGAGUGCUGGGAUUAAAGGCGUGCGCCACCACCGCCCGGCCAUCCACAUUUUUAUUUGUUAUUUGUUAUUUUUUUUUAGACAAACAUUCCCCCCCACCCCUCCGGAUCUGGGGACCGAACCCAGGGCCUUGCGCUUGUUAGGCAAGCGCUCUUCCACUGAGCUAAAUCCCCAACCUCAGAUUUUUAUUUUGUUCUAAAUAAAAUGUGAGGGAUUUAAAAGAAAUAAAUAGUCUUUGUUAUUGGAUCCAUUGCUUCGUUAGAGACUUAAAAAUGUUUAUUGUUUUAUUUUCAAAACACAAAUAUAUGCAAUAAUUGAAACUAGCCAGUGUUGACUUUCUCCUCUCAAAGCAACUUAAAGCGUGGCAUGUUGUCAUAUGCAUAUAAUCCCAGCACUGGAGAUGCUUACAUGGGAAGAUGACCUUGACUUUGAUGCCAGUCUGGGAUUCAUAACAAGACCCCAACUCAAACAAAAAAAACCCAUAAACAUGAUUUCUACUUCAGACUUGUACUAUUAAUCUUUAGGAUUCAAGUAAUGGAUUUAUGACUAGAAGAAAUAGUAGGUGGCUUUUUUUUUUAAGAGCACCUAUAUUAAUCACUAACUUGGAGUACUUCAAGGGGAGAUUUGGGAAAGGAAGCACUGAGCUAUGCAGGAAAACAGUGAACCUAGACUUUGGGCCUUGGCAUUAGCUAGCCUGUUCUUAGACUGCUUCCAUAGUUACUGAUGUCAUUUUUUCCCAGUAGUUAAGAUUGCUUAGAAUGUAAGAGGUUAUUGAAUUUGUUCAAGUCUGUAGAAAAGGCAAGUAAUAGUAUACUGAAAGAUAUGUCAGUUACAGUUACUGUUAAUAAUGGUGUUUACUAUGACAGGGAUUAAAGAAGAGAGAUAAGUACCACUAUAAAUGUUGAAUUGUCAGUGAUAUUAGCAGAGAGAAAACUUCUCUUCAGUGAUUCUCGUGUAAAAUCACUUUAGAUAUUUUUUCUGCUAGUCCAUGUAGAAAACUAGACGGUUUUUCCAUCCUUAUUCUGAUUAAUGAUCUAUUGCCUUUGCUCUUUGUUCUAAGUUAAAAACUGUUGAAGACCUGCGUUACACCUGAAUGAAGACGUUUUUAUAACCACAGAAAAGGCUGCUUUGGAAACCGUCACAGCAAAACUGAAACCUAAUUCUAACUGUUCAGUAGCUAUGUUAUGUAACGCUUAUACCCAACACGCCGAACAUUGGUUUCAAUCACGCCGUGCUUAAUUUUCAGGGUUCCAUGAAGAUAUGUGUGAAGCAUAUCAUAGGCACUCUAUAAUUAACAGUUUGUUAGUUCUUAGGACACUCAACGCAUGGGAGAAAGAAACAACAGCACACUUUGGUGCUCAGGACUUCAUGGAUCCAGCAGCAACCUGGAGUGGUGCUCACCUGAAGAAAUCCUACUCGGAUGGAUAUAAUACAACCUGCUAAGUGUUCUAGCACUUAGCAGGUUGUAUUAUCAUUGUCCGUGGCUAUGGCUCUCGUCUAUCAGACUAAAUCCUUAAGGGCAAGGACGGUGCCUUAUUCAUCUUUGUAUUCGCAGUGCCUAAUCCAGUGCACAUUGUAGGCCUCAUUAAAUGUUUGUUGAAUGAAAAAAUGAAUCAUCAACAGACAUUAAUUGGGCGCCUGCUCUGUGAUCUCCAUGGGCUCAGCUUGUUCCUGCCAGUUGCCUACAGCAUCCGAGGUCUCUUCAACGUACUUCUGAAGCUUAAUCCUGUCUUCUCAUUCUUGGAAUGAAGACUGUUCUGUGUAGUGUAAUGAUAGUGAAUAUACUUUAUCUUGUGGACCAUUUCCAAUUGACUGAUAAUGUGUGUCUCGACUGUGUUUUAUAAAAAGGAUUCUAUAGCAAGUUCUAAUCUAUGCUGAGGGUGUAAAAGGGAGAAUAGAAGCCCGAAUACCUUAAAUGUCAUAUUUGAUCAUGUGUUUUCUAUGAAACAUUCAGUUUAUAUGCCUGUGUUUUGGAAUUGCCUGCGUUUAGAUGUUGUGUAGCUCCUGUUGCUACUAUAAUUGCUACCAAUUACUCCCUAGGUUGAACCACAGUGAUCAUUGAGUAAAAGCUUCAUCCUUGCAAUAUGGGGUCUGCUGUUAUGGUUGGUAUUCAGUUUGUCCUUUUCAACUUUGCCCAGCUUUCCCCUUAACUACAUUUAUUUCCCCCCCCCAAUGUAAAAGUGAAGAGCCUUUAUUUUCUUUUCUUUUUUAUUUUAUUUUUCUAUUACCACCUUGAUACAGUACAAAUUCUUAUCCUAAGAGUGAAAUGUUUCACUGAGGCUUGCCCAGUGAUUGAGUAAAACCAGAGCUUAUUAUGGGUCCCCCCUGCUAGGUAGCCCCUUAACUACAUUUAUAGGUAGACUUCCACAGUCCUGUCUACCAACUACUAAACUCAUGUUUCCUUUUUCUUAUGUUUACUUAAUUUCUAGUAUCCCGUAAAAUAUCUUUCUGUUAACGUAUGUGACAAAGAGAAUACAUGUUAACCAACCCUUUCAGCACCCUACAGCGAGUCAUAUAGUCACCCUGUUCCUAUGGGAGAAAAUCAGCUGUGUUUGCAGACCUUCAAAGAGACAUUGUAGAUGGGAAUGAAGGCCUGGGUGAUACAUAUGAGCGUUAGAGAGUAUAUUAGUUACUUUUCUAGGGCUGUGAACAAAAAUGCCAUGCCCAAAAGCAAAUUGAGGAGAACACGCUUUAUUUUGCUUUUAGCUCCAGAAGGAUAUAUUCCACAUUGGCAUGGCAGGGAAUACACAGCAACAAGCAGGGAGGCAUGGCUUCAGGAUCAGCAGGUGGAACAAGAACAGGAAGUGAGGCAAUCCAGAAAACCAUCUUGCCCCUAGUGGCAUCCCUCUAGAGAAAUUCCACCCCUGAAAGGUCCCAUAAAAUUCCCAAAAGUUACCACCAACUGAGGACCAAGUGUUCAAAUACAUAAGCGUAGUAGGAUUGCUUUUUCAAACCACCCAGGAGGGUAAAACCUACAUCUCGGUAGAAUAUGGUAACUUUAGAUGAAAGGAACUAUCUGUUCACUGAUGCAUGCCGAUCUAUAAAGGAAAGACAACUUAAGAAUGAAAGCUCUCCAUUUCAGACAUGGGCUGUGAGGAGUCAGCUAUCCAGGGACACAGUUACAGAGAUGGAGCUGCUGUUAGGUGAACUGCAAAGUAUGGAUUAGGAACACUUUCUAAUGACUCCUUAGGCACAAAGGCUAGAGUAGACAGUUGACAUGAGAAUAUAGGGCGCCUAUCUGGUGAUUACAGAAGAAAAAAAAACAGCUUUAUUGAGCUUAAUUGUUGCCUUAAUUGCCUUAAUUGAGGAGGGCAGCUAGCAAGAAAAGAAAUGGAUUAAGUGGUCCUGGAAGAAUCUGAGGUCCGGAGUAGACUUUGCCUAAAAACCAUAAUGGAGAACAUACAUGGUUUUCCUUCUUGGUUUGAAGCAAGAUCUAUCCAGGUAGUCCUGACUGUAAACUCCUACAUAGGUCCGGCAGGCCCCAAACUUGUAACAGUCCUGCUUCUACCUUCCAGCUUUGUGAUUAUGGUCAUACAUGGGCCACCGAACAUGGCUCAUGUUGACUUCUGGAGACAUAGGACACUGGUAGAGCAUUUGCCAAGAAAACAUCAGACAUGUAAGGUUCAAUUCCCAGUAUGGCCAGGGCUGAUUAUAUACAAUAUUUUAAAAGUGCGUAAGUUCAUUAAACAAAACAAGGUGGGUGAAAUUUAACAACUUACAUCACCACCAAUAAAAGCCAUUCUUGGAUCAGGAAACAUCCAAUUGAUUGGCUCACGUGCUCGUGUUUUCCUAUUGCUGUUGGAAAAUGCAGAGAAAUGGCAUUGAGGAUUUAGAAGAUAAAACACAGAAGAAAGUAUUAUGAAUGAACACUGCAAGCAGACUUAUUUGCUGUGUAUCCUUGUUUCUCAUGCUUUCUUCCGUCCUCAACAUGGAGUCUUUUGGCCACAGAGUUUCUCUCUGUGUCCCUGGCUCUCCUGGAACAGGACCCUUCGUUUCAAGUUACACAAGGGGAAAAAUAAGAAAAGAGCAACAGGGUUGCCUAAAACCUCGUGAUGCUCACCAGAGAACAAGGGGCUUUUUUCAGUUACAUGCCACUCCUUUCUUGUGCAUUUAUGAAUGUGCACGAUUCCUUCCCAGUGUUCCUGGUAGACUACUUACACUUUUAGACCCCCCACAGUCAAAAAAUCCCCAGUCUGCAGUGCAGUAUCAGAAGACAGGACUCUAAAGCUGUAUUUGGGUUUUAGCAGUAAAAUACCAGCUUUGCAUGAAGAUGGUGGGCAGUGCAUUUGAAAGUAGCUGCACAGUCUGUUUAUAAUUCUUUUUCAUUCACUAAUGAAAGCUGAACUUAUCAUGACCGCUGCUAUACUAUAGAGUGCUCAUUAGACCGAUAACACCUCUUUUGGCAACUGCAGAAGCUAUACGCAAGGAUAAACUACAGCCACAGUAGCCCCUCUCUUUUUUGCUUGGUCAUCAGGUACUAAAAUUUGUUUGGUGGUAACUAUUGAGUAAAUUUUUAAAGUUUUAGUCAAUCGUGGACAUUAGGAGAUUUGGUUAAUCUCUUGUGGGUGCUUGGAAUAGGACAUAGAUUUGCAACUUUCAAAUAUUGUCCCAGUGAAUUCCCAGAAGACAUUUAAAUCAGGCUUUAUGUCUUGUCUUGGAUCUUGCCUCCUCUUGUUGUGUGUCCUAACAGAAUUUUUGUUCUCUUCCCCCACCCUGAUGUGUUUCAGGAAUCUGUCUUCCUUUCCCUGUUCAGACAUGGAUCAGUUAAAAGCUCCAUUGUGGAUCAAAACUCAGUGAAUGUUGGGAAUGGAAUCCAUGUUGCUCUUUGGAUGUACCAACGGGAGUGGUGCCCAAAGAUAAUGUAGAGGAAUGUUGUAACAUGCCCUGUCCAAAUCACAAAUGCUUAACAUUUUUGGCAGAUAAUGGACCUUGAAAGCUUUUAUUAAUGGAAGGAGUAAACUUGGGAUCUCUGAUAUUUGUGAAUGAAUUUAGAAGGCAACUGUUUGUUUCCCCUAUGGAUACAAUGAGUGAAGAAAAUGUACUGAAUGAGCUCUCUGUCUUCUGUGGAGCACACAAUGUGGCUUCAUAUAACCAUAGCUUUUCAGUAUCUUGUCACUUUUAAAUGUCACUGCUUUUAUGGAGAUUUCUGUUUACCCGAUUAGCAAACAGCAUGCUUUCAAUUGAGUCUGAUACGAUGUUAAAAGGCUCAAGGAGAGGAGAUAGGACAAGAAGUGCUGAAUAGCUGAGUGAAAAUGUAGAAUAGGGGGACCAUGUCCAGGAGACAGUGUCCCGACCAUCCUCAGAGCUGCCAUAGCCAUAAAAUGUUAAGCUGGGAUCUGAUACUUGUCAGUCUGAAAUGCGUGAUGGGAGAUCCAAAAUAUGAGGAACUGCUACUUUGGAGAAGGAUUAUAAAAUAUUUAUUUCACAUUAGAGGUUUAGAGGAGGUAAACUCCCAGUUUCACAUUAUUCUCUGUGGGUUUGAGGAUUCUUCCCACUGUCAGCUCACUGGGCAAGGUGAAGUGAAAGGUUUGAUGCUCUCAGGAUGUUGUUGCCUUAUCACCUUAGCAGGUGUUGCCCAACAAUGGGUCCAGUACAUGAAGGAGCAAGAAAGCCAGUGCCCAGUGGACAACAACGUGGCCUUUUGAGUGAAGAUCAUUGACAAAACAACUUCACUCAGUUGGACUCUAAAAAUAUAAAGAAGAUGCAUAAUUUUAUAACAGUAUAUACUUGUUACUCUAUAUUUUUAUUCUGGUAUUUUUUUCAUUUCAAAAUUUAAAAGUUAUAUUUCUAUGUCAUGUUCUUUGAUAAAGACAAUAUAAAGUCUACAUAGAAUAUGUACUUUACUGCAUUUAUUUCAAUUUUACAGGAUUACUGUACUUUUGGACCUUGCCCAUUUUUUUUAUAACAUGUAACAUUGUAUAUUCAUUUGUUGGAAAAUAAAUUUCUACCAAUGAAUUCUUUUAUUUGAAAACUUCUUGGAGCAUCAUAAAGGUGAUUUUGACUUAUUCACAAUACAAUUGUAUAAAUAACAGUACUACCAGUAGUGAAUAAAUGUGAAUAUUUCAUUAAACGAUUAGAAUAUAACUUC